rnacentral:lncRNA from 1 species
CACAAUUGUCUUUAUAUCUCUUUACUGGAAAGAUCACUGAGUCGUUCCUUUUCUUUUACUCUGCCAUAACACCCUCAUUGCCCAUGAUACUACUAUCUUGUCCAUGAUCGUUCCUGAUUACUCCAACCAUUUUCUCGAUCUUCGUCUUCCCAACUACUGAUGAAGUCCUUUCCCAACGAAGUCUUGUCUACUCCCAUCUGUCCAGUCCAUACCACUGUCCAGUCUCUCUGAAUCUGUCUCUCCUCUUUCGCUUCGGG